rnacentral:rRNA from 1 species
UUCGGGUUCCGGGGGAGUAUGGUCGCAAGGCCGAAACUUAAAGGAAUUGACGGAAGGGCACCACCAGGAGUGGAAUCUGCGGCUUAAUUUGACCCAACGCGGGAAAACUCACCAGGUCAGGACACGGUAAGGAUUGACGGACUGAAGGCUCUUUCUCGAUUCCGUGGAAAGUGGUGCAUGGCCGUUUUGGUUGGUGGAUCGAUCCGUCUGGUUAAUUCCGUUAACGAACGAGACCUCGGCACUCCGAAUAGCGCGGCGGACGUCGCGGCCUCCGGGCCGUCUUCCGCACGAGCUUCUUAGAGGGACCGUCCCCCGCCGGGGAAGGAGGUGCGAGGCAACGACAGGUCUGUGAUGCCCUUAGAUGUUCUGGGCCGCACGCGCAUUACACUGACGCGUCCAACGGGUGACUCCCGACCCGAAGGGGCCGGGGAAUCCGCAAGGCGCGUCGUGAUGGGGAUUGAACGUUGCAAUUGUUGUUCACGAACGAGGAAUUCCUAGUAGGCGCGGGUCAUCAACCCGCGCCGAUUACGUCCCUGC